CAUAAUCUGCAAUCCAUUCCAAAUUCAAACCAGUCAAUCAGCUUUAAUUUCUCAAUCAAUUUGGUAAUUAUUUUCACAACACAAAAAUCGGUUUUUUUUUUCUCCAACCUAAUCUCUCAAUUCUUUGCUACCACAUCUCACUCACAAUUUCACUCUUAAAUCUGCAAAUCCAUUUCAAGACUCAUGGCAAGAACAAGUCGGUUCCUCAAUUUUCAAUCCCACCAAAUUCACGAAAACCGAGAACCAAACUGAUAGAGAGGAAGAUAUUGUUUGCUCUUUCACAACCGGUUAAUCGAAGGUUGAGCGGCGACGAGCUUGCGGUGGUGUUGAGUCAAACCUUAAUCAUGGUUGGAUUUAUUUUGAACUCCGAGGGGCGUCGUGUCUUCAUACAUGGCGCCACUCUUACUCUUGAAUGCUUCCGUUGAAUUAUGACUAUUUUUUUCUCAAUUAUGUUUCUGAAUCCCUUUUUCACUCUUGGAUCAUUACCUAUGAUAAUUGUUGACUUGGAUUCAAGUGUAAAGCGUUUACUCUGAUUUCCCUCCGUUAUUUGAAUAUUAAUUAUUUAGUCAAACUCUUUAUUGAAACCCUAGAAUAAUUCCCCUUUCUUAAAGUCCCAUUUGUCGCGACCAACCACAUUUAUUAACCCUAGAAAGGGCGGUCGUGACAUAACCCUAGCAUCUAAUUUCCAUUUGUCUCAAUUUGGUUUCUCCACAUAAUACACACACCCACACUUGUGCUCAGCCGUCAACCAAACAAGGUGUGUUCUUGUAACUUUGAGCAUUGUACUUGAAUUCCUUAAUUGAAUAGUCUUGUUGUUGGUAUUUUUCUUGUUAAUUUGAAUUGGAGUUUGAUGGGGAUGAUAUUACUUGUGAUUUAUUUAUGGUACAAUUGGAAGUUUUGGAUUUAUUGAUAAUUGGUGGGCUGGAAUUAGCUUGUGUUUGUGAAUGAAAUUUGAAUAUCCCUAUAGUUUGAUUGUAGAUACACAUAUUUCAUUUUCAUAGCAUUGUGACACUAUUUUUUCUUGCAUGAAUUGUGUAUAGCUUUAUUGUUUUACUUGAUCUUGAUCUAUUAUUGAAAAAUUCUUGUAGUUAGUUGAGGGAUAUAGAAUAUAAUGGGGGAUGAAUAUGGAAUCAAGGUAGAUUAGUUGGUCUUGCAUGUGUGAUUAUUUUUACUCCUUAAUUCGAUUUAAGUUUGGGGGAUUGCCAAAAAUUACUUGUUGUAUCUACAGUAAUUUUCUUCAUUAUAUGCUCACAUUGUGAAAUUGUGGUUAUAAGGCGUACUGAGGGAAUAUUCACGAGGAUGGGGGAUAACUUAUUAGCUUCUACGAACGUCAACCUAAAGACGUAAAACAAGUGCUUAUUGGGAGGCAACUCAACAUUGGUAAUAUGCACAAAUAAUUGCUUAAGUGUGCAAAAAAAGGGGUAGAAGUGCACAGUGUUGUCAAAAUGGCGCUCGGGUCGCCCGAGUCGAGACCGUCACCGCCCCAACAUGGGUGGGUUGAUCGAGGUAUAGGGUCACCGCCGGGUCGCCUGGGUCGAGAGGGUCGCCUGGGUCGAGAUACAGGUGCGAUCCUCGACCCUAACUACACUAGAAGUGCAUGCAAAUGGGUGUUGAAGGAGGAACAAACAAAGGUGAAGAAUGGGACACGGAUGAGGAAAAGCACGAGAAGCGGAGCAGGCUUCUAGAAGGUAUUCCUUGUGGAGAGCACAAAUGUUAACACAUGAAGGAUCAGCCCUAGGAUUGAAGCCAAGCCGCCCUAUAAAUAGAUGGAAGAAACAUGGAGAAAAGACAUUCUCUCGACUGUGGUCAAUCAGUUUCUCAGUUCCAACCUUCGCACUCCAGCUUUCGACCUCCAUCACAAGAGGAGGAACACCAUGCUCGUUGCAGUCAAGUACUUGGUAGUUCGGCAAUACUAUGCUCUUUGGAGCGAGUAAGAGUUUACUUUUAGUUCUAGUUUAUGCUUAUUUUGAAUUUUCAAUAUGAAUAUGUGGAUACUUUCCAUUUACAUCUAUUUCAGCACUGUA